rnacentral:rRNA from 1 species
GAUGAACGCUAGCGGCAGGCCUAAUACAUGCAAGUCGAACGAGAUUGAGGAGCUUGCUCCUCAUGAAAGUGGCGCACGGGUGCGUAACGCGUAUGCAAUCUACCUUAAUCAGGGGGAUAGCCCGGAGAAAUCCGGAUUAAUACCGCAUAACGUUAUUUUAUGGCAUCAUAGAAUAACCAAACAUUUAUGGGAUUAAGAUGAGCAUGCGUGACAUUAGUUAGUUGGUGAGGUAACGGCUCACCAAGACUACGAUGUCUAGGGGAUCCGAGAGGAUGACCCCCCACACUGGUACUGAGACACGGACCAGACUCCUACGGGAGGCAGCAGUAAGGAAUAUUGGUCAAUGGGCGCAAGCCUGAACCAGCCAUGCCGCGUGCAGGAAGACGGCCCUAUGGGUUGUAAACUGCUUUUAUUCGGGAAUAAACCUCUUUACGUGUAAGGAGCUGAAUGUACCGAAGGAAUAAGGAUCGGCUAACUCCGUGCCAGCAGCC